rnacentral:rRNA from 1 species
UGCGCAGGCGGUUAUGUAAGACAGAGGUGAAAUCCCCGGGCUCAACCUGGGAACUGCCUUUGUGACUGCAUAGCUGGAGUGCGGCAGAGGGGGAUGGAAUUCCGCGUGUAGCAGUGAAAUGCGUAGAUAUGCGGAGGAACACCGAUGGCGAAGGCAGGUCUCUGGGCCAAUACUGACACUGAGGAGCGAAAGUCUGGGGAGCGAACA